GUGUUUCUAAUUUGAAUUUUCAUGAAGGCAGGCUUCUGCUAUUAAUUAAGAAACUCUGUUGCCUGUGAGAGGGUAGAUUCCUGCAAGAUUUUAGGAUGGUAGAAUUCAACUUGUUGUUAACCAAUUUACUGGAAGGUCAAAUAGCUCAGGAAUUGCAUUUUUCAGGGAACAUCAGUUUGAUACCGUUUGCGGUGUUGACCUUUAUUUUCAGUAACUCUUGUUGUAUGUUUGUUCUUGGUUUUCAAAGGAGCAAGUAGUUGUUAAUCUCCAGAACCAACUUCUGCAGUGUGAAUGGCUUUCCUGUAAACUGUUCUGGUGCAGUUAGAAGCUGAUGAUCUUGGAGUUAAUUGGCAAUUUCAGAGAAUUUGGAGAGGAGACCUUGGAAGCCUUUUAGAAGGUAUCGUUUGGACAGAAAAUAGUGCACCCAUGGAACAGCAAACUCCCAGCUCUUCCAAUCUUCUGGCGAAUGGAAAUGAAAA